GACGAACGCUGGCGGCGUGCUUAACACAUGCAAGUCGAACGGAAAGGCCCUGCUUUUGUGGGGUGCUCGAGUGGCGAACGGGUGAGUAACACGUGAGUAACCUGCCCUUGACUUUGGGAUAACUUCAGGAAACUGGGGCUAAUACCGGAUAGGAGCUCCUGCUGCAUGGUGGGGGUUGGAAAGUUUCGGCGGUUGGGGAUGGACUCGCGGCUUAUCAGCUUGUUGGUGGGGUAGUGGCUUACCAAGGCUUUGACGGGUAGCCGGCCUGAGAGGGUGACCGGCCACAUUGGGACUGAGAUACGGCCCAGACUCCUACGGGAGGCAACAGUGGGGAAUAUUGCACAAUGGGCGGAAGCCUGAUGCAGCAACGCCGCGUGCGGGAUGACGGCCUUCGGGUUGUAAACCGCUUUCGCCUGUGACGAAGCGUGAGUGACGGUAUGGGUAAAGAAGCACCGGCUAACUACGUG
rnacentral:rRNA from 1 species